rnacentral:rRNA from 1 species
GACGAACGCUGGCGGCGUGCUUAACACAUGCAAGUCGAACGCUGAAGCACCAGCUUGCUGGUGUGGAUGAGUGGCGAACGGGUGAGUAAUACGUGAGUAACCUGCCCUUGACUCUGGGAUAAGCCCGGGAAACUGGGUCUAAUACUGGAUGCUACAUGUCACCGCAUGGUGGUGUGUGGAAAGGGUUUACUGGUCUUGGAUGGGCUCACGGCCUAUCAGCUUGUUGGUGAGGUAAUGGCUCACCAAGGCGACGACGGGUAGCCGGCCUGAGAGGGUGACCGGCCCCACGGGGACUGAACACCGGCCCAACCUCCUCCGGGGGGCAGAAGGGGGGAAUAUUGCACAAUGGGCGAAACCCUGAUGCGGCGCCGCCGGGGGGGGGAUGACGGCCUUCGGUUUUUAACCCUUUUUCGGCGGGGAAGAAGCCAAAAUUGCGGGUACCUGCAGAAAAAGGCCCGGCUAACUAGGU